rnacentral:rRNA from 1 species
CAGUCGCCGCGGGAAUACGAAGGGGGCUAGCGUUGCUCGGAAUGACUGGGCGUAAAGGGCGCGUAGGCGGCGAUCAAAGUCAGGCGUGAAAUUCCUGGGCUCAACCUGGGGGCUGCGCUUGAUACUUGGUUGCUUGAGUGGGGAAGAGGGUCGUGGAAUUCCCAGUGUAGAGGUGAAAUUCGUAGAUAUUGGGAAGAACACCGGUGGCGAAGGCGGCGACCUGGUCCUUGACUGACGCUGAGGCGCGAAAGCGUGGGGAGCAAACAGGAUUAGAUACCCCUGUAGUCCCUGUCUCUUAUAC